AACGUAGGUUCCGAGCGUUAUCCGGAUUUACUGGGCGUAAAGCGCGUUCAGGCGGUUUGGCAAGUCGGGCAUGAAAUCUCUCGGCUCAACCGGGAGAGGUUGUCCGAUACUGCUGGACUUGAGGGCAGUAGAGGGUGGUGGAAUUCCCGGUGUAGCAGUGAAAUGCGUAGAGAUCGGGAGGAACACCAGUGGCGAAGGCGGCUACCUGGACCAGCACUGACACUGAGGCACGAAAGCGUGGGGAGCAAACAGG
rnacentral:rRNA from 1 species